GGGUUGUGAGGUUAAGCGACUAAGCGUACACGGUGGAUGCCCUGGCAGUCAGAGGCGAUGAAGGACGUGCUAAUCUGCGAUAAGCGCCGGUAAGGUGAUAUGAACCGUUAUAACCGGCGAUUUCCGAAUGGGGAAACCCAGUGUGACUCGUCACACUAUCAUUAACUGAAUCCAUAGGUUAAUGAGGCGAACCGGGGGAACUGAAACAUCUAAGUACCCCGAGGAAAAGAAAUCAACCGAGAUUCCCCCAGUAGCGGCGAGCGAACGGGGAGGAGCCCAGAGCCUGAAUCAGCAUGUGUGUUAGUGGAAGCGUCUGGAAAGGCGCGCGAUACAGGGUGACAGCCCCGUACACAAAAGCGCAUGUGCUGUGAGCUCGAUGAGUAGGGCGGGACACGUGGUAUCCUGUCUGAAUAUGGGGGGACCAUCCUCCAAGGCUAAAUACUCCUGACUGACCGAUAGUGAACCAGUACCGUGAGGGAAAGGCGAAAAGAACCCCGGCGAGGGGAGUGAAAAAGAACCUGAAACCGUGUACGUACAAGCAGUGGGAGCCCCACCACUAAGCCAGUGGUGAACUCCACAUACGCAUCCUUUGCUGAGGAUACGGUUAACGGAGCGAAAGCGACGUUCAACCUCAAAAGAAGCAGAGGGGGCUUAGUGGUGGGGUGACUGCGUACCUUUUGUAUAAUGGGUCAGCGACUUAUAUUCUGUAGCAAGGUUAACCGAAUAGGGGAGCCGGAGGGAAACCGAGUCUUAAUUGGGCGUUAAGUUGCAGGGUAUAGACCCGAAACCCGGUGAUCUAGCCAUGGGCAGGUUGAAGGUUGGGUAACACUAACUGGAGGACCGAACCGACUAAUGUUGAAAAAUUAGCGGAUGACCUGUGGCUGGGGGUGAAAGGCCAAUCAAACCGGGAGAUAGCUGGUUCUCCCCGAAAGCUAUUUAGGUAGCGCCUCGUGAAUUCAUCUCCGGGGGUAGAGCACUGUUUCGGCUAGGGGGCCAUCCCGGCUUACCAACCCGAUGCAAACUGCGAAUACCGGAGAAUGUUAUCACGGGAGACACACGGCGGGUGCUAACGUCCGUCGUGAAGAGGGAAACAACCCAGACCGCCAGCUAAGGUCCCAAAGUCAUGGUUAAGUGGGAAACGAUGUGGGAAGGCCCAGACAGCCAGGAUGUUGGCUUAGAAGCAGCCAUCAUUUAAAGAAAGCGUAAUAGCUCACUGGUCGAGUCGGCCUGCGCGGAAGAUGUAACGGGGCUAAACCAUGCACCGAAGCUGCGGCAGCGACACUCAGGUGUUGUUGGGUAGGGGAGCGUUCUGUAAGCCUGCGAAGGUGGCCUGUGAGGGUUGCUGGAGGUAUCAGAAGUGCGAAUGCUGACAUAAGUAACGAUAAAGCGGGUGAAAAGCCCGCUCGCCGGAAGACCAAGGGUUCCUGUCCAACGUUAAUCGGGGCAGGGUGAGUCGACCCCUAAGGCGAGGCCGAAAGGCGUAGUCGAUGGGAAACGGGUUAAUAUUCCCGUACUUGGUGUUACUGCGAAGGGGGGACGGAGAAGGCUAUGUUGGCCGGGCGACGGUUGUCCCGGUUUAAGCGUGUAGGUGUGUGUUCCAGGUAAAUCCGGUUCACUUUAACACUGAGGCGUGAUGACGAGGCACUACGGUGCUGAAGCAACAAAUGCCCUGCUUCCAGGAAAAGCCUCUAAGCAUCAGGUAACAUCAAAUCGUACCCCAAACCGACACAGGUGGUCAGGUAGAGAAUACCAAGGCGCUUGAGAGAACUCGGGUGAAGGAACUAGGCAAAAUGGUGCCGUAACUUCGGGAGAAGGCACGCUGACACGUAGGUGAAGUGAUUUACUCAUGGAGCUGAAGUCAGUCGAAGAUACCAGCUGGCUGCAACUGUUUAUUAAAAACACAGCACUGUGCAAACACGAAAGUGGACGUAUACGGUGUGACGCCUGCCCGGUGCCGGAAGGUUAAUUGAUGGGGUCAGCGCAAGCGAAGCUCCUGAUCGAAGCCCCGGUAAACGGCGGCCGUAACUAUAACGGUCCUAAGGUAGCGAAAUUCCUUGUCGGGUAAGUUCCGACCUGCACGAAUGGCGUAAUGAUGGCCAGGCUGUCUCCACCCGAGACUCAGUGAAAUUGAACUCGCUGUGAAGAUGCAGUGUACCCGCGGCAAGACGGAAAGACCCCGUGAACCUUUACUAUAGCUUGACACUGAACAUUGAGCCUUGAUGUGUAGGAUAGGUGGGAGGCUUUGAAGUGUGGACGCCAGUCUGCAUGGAGCCGACCUUGAAAUACCACCCUUUAAUGUUUGAUGUUCUAACGUGGACCCGUGAUCCGGGUUGCGGACAGUGUCUGGUGGGUAGUUUGACUGGGGCGGUCUCCUCCUAAAGAGUAACGGAGGAGCACGAAGGUUGGCUAAUCCUGGUCGGACAUCAGGAGGUUAGUGCAAUGGCAUAAGCCAGCUUGACUGCGAGCGUGACGGCGCGAGCAGGUGCGAAAGCAGGUCAUAGUGAUCCGGUGGUUCUGAAUGGAAGGGCCAUCGCUCAACGGAUAAAAGGUACUCCGGGGAUAACAGGCUGAUACCGCCCAAGAGUUCAUAUCGACGGCGGUGUUUGGCACCUCGAUGUCGGCUCAUCACAUCCUGGGGCUGAAGUAGGUCCCAAGGGUAUGGCUGUUCGCCAUUUAAAGUGGUACGCGAGCUGGGUUUAGAACGUCGUGAGACAGUUCGGUCCCUAUCUGCCGUGGGCGCUGGAGAACUGAGGGGGGCUGCUCCUAGUACGAGAGGACCGGAGUGGACGCAUCACUGGUGUUCGGGUUGUCAUGCCAAUGGCACUGCCCGGUAGCUAAAUGCGGAAGAGAUAAGUGCUGAAAGCAUCUAAGCACGAAACUUGCCCCGAGAUGAGUUCUCCCUGAGACUUAAAGUCUCCUGAAGGAACGUUGAAGACGACGACGUUGAUAGGCCGGGUGUGUAAGCGCAGCGAUGCGUUGAGCUAACCGGUACUAAUGAACCGUGAGGCUUAACCUUACAACGCCGAAG
rnacentral:rRNA from 1 species